UACGAAGGGGGGCUAGCGUUGCUCGGAAUCACUGGGCGUAAAGCGCACGUAGGCGGAUCUUUAAGUCAGGGGUGAAAUCCCAAGGCUCAACCUUGGAACUGCCUUUGAUACUGGGGAUCUCGAGUCCGGAAGAGGUUGGUGGAACUGCGAGUGUAGAGGUGAAAUUCGUAGAUAUUCGCAAGAACACCAGUGGCGAAGGCAGGUUACUACUAAUGGAUUGACGCUGAUGGACGAAAGCGUGGGUAGCGAACAGG
rnacentral:rRNA from 1 species